rnacentral:rRNA from 1 species
GAUGAACGCUGGCGGCGUGCUUAACACAUGCAAGUCGAACGGAAAGGCUCCUGCUUGCAGGGGUACUCGAGUGGCGAACGGGUGAGUAACACGUGGGUGAUCUGCCCUGCACUUCGGGAUAAGCCUGGGAAACUGGGUCUAAUACCGGAUAGGACGAUGGUUUGGAUGCCAUUGUGGAAAGUUUUUUCGGUGUGGGAUGAGCUCGCGGCCUAUCAGCUUGUUGGUGGGGUAAUGGCCUACCAAGGCGUCGACGGGUAGCCGGCCUGAGAGGGUGUACGGCCACAUUGGGACUGAGAUACGGCCCAGACUCCUACGGGAGGCAGCAGUGGGGAAUAUUGCACAAUGGGCGGAAGCCUGAUGCAGCAACGCCGCGUGGGGGAUGACGGCCUUCGGGUUGUAAACUCCUUUCGCUAGGGACGAAGCGCAAGUGACGGUACCUGGUGAAGAAGCACCGGCUAACUACGUG